rnacentral:rRNA from 1 species
ARCUAUACGGAUACAUUUGGACCGCAUGGUUCUAAAGUGAAAGAUGGUUUUGCUAUCACUUAUAGAUGGACCCGCGCCGUAUUAGCUAGUUGGUAAGGUAACGGCUUACCAAGGCRACGAUACGUAGCCGACCUGAGAGGGUGAUCGGCCACACUGGAACUGAGACACGGUCCAGACUCCUACGGGAGGCAGCAGUAGGGAAUCUUCCGCAAUGGGCGAAAGCCUGACGGAGCAACGCCGCGUGAGUGAUGAAGGGUUUCGGCUCGUAAAACUCUGUUAUUAGGGAAGAACAAAUGUGUAAGUAACUGUGCACGUCUUGACGGUACCUAAUCAGAAAGCCACGGCUAACUACGUGCCAGCAGCGSSGGGUAAUAAA